rnacentral:lncRNA from 11 species
CUCCCAUUCACUUCUGUGUUACUCUUGCAGCGCAUGGCAGUGUCGAGGUCGGAGGAGAGUGAGAGCAGUUAAGGGGCAAGACAGUGGAGGGUCUUCUGGCUAUGAAUGGCAGAGCACUGUCUUUGGAAGAGAGGCUGGCCAGGGAAAUUUAUGCAGGCAAAAACUAUAGACUUCUAGGCCAGGACCGUUCUACAAAGCCCAGCUCUCACAUGAGGUAGAUUUCCCUUCCCCACAUAGACCCCAUGCACGACUACCCGAUGUCUUCUCCAAAGGGCUGGGAAGUCCUCUAGAGCAGAGCGGACACUGAAUGUCCCCUUUGCUCUGUUCUGGCUCUACAUCAGGGGUCCCCAAAGGAGUUUGGGUGGGCCAGAUGCAGCCGUCCACGGCAAUUUAUCUGGCCCCCGCCCGAGUCUGAAACAACUUAAAGGCACACAACAACAAUCCAAAUUCACUUGACUAUCUCAUCAGCCAAAAGAAGGUCCACAGUUACCACUGAAAUACGGGUAAGUUUAAGUUAUUUAAAAUUGCUCUUCAUUUUAAAUAUGGUUCUUUCAUUGUUUUGUUUUGUUUUGUUUUGUUUGAAUUUGAGGUUUUUUGCACUACAAACAAGAUAUGUGCAUAGGAAUUUGUUCAUGUCCUAUAGUCCUCCACCACAGUCUGAGGGACUGUAAACCGACCCUCUGCUUAAAAAUGUAAGGAUGUCUACUUCAAAUGAUGCAAGUGGGCUUUCGAGAGAAGAGGGGGAAUUCCCCUGGAGAGAUCCAUGUGUCAUUUAGAGGUGCCACAGAGCAAAGAGAACUCCCCAGACUUGAACCUCUAAAGAUGUCGGACACCGAUGCCAGUGAAACGUCAAGAGAGAAUGAUACUGGAACACGGUCAUACAGCCUGAAAAAUUCACAGCAACCCAGUGAUUCCGGCCAUGAAAGCCUUCAACAACAUGUAGAACAUACCUUAAUUAAUCACUUCUGGGGGGUUGGGGAAGACUGACUACAAUUGUACAACUGGCUAUACAUAAAUCC